GAGGGUUUAGCUCAGUGGUAGAGUGCCUGCUUAGCAUGCACGAGGUCCUGGGUUCAAUCCCCAGUACUUCCA
rnacentral:tRNA from 1 species